rfam:Caenorhabditis brenneri strain PB2801 C_brenneri-6.0.1_Cont18.62, whole genome shotgun sequence.
CCAACGGCCCUCUUUAGGGCCACAAAUCCUCAAUAAUCCUAAAUCG